rnacentral:rRNA from 1 species
CACACGACUCUCGGCAACGGAUAUCUCGGCUCUCGCAUCGAUGAAGAACGUAGCGAAAUGCGAUACCUGGUGUGAAUUGCAGAAUCCCGCGAACCAUCGAGUCUUUGAACGCAAGUUGCGCCCGAGGCCAUUCGGCUGAGGGCACGCAUGCCUGGGCGUCACGC